UUGAACGCUGGCGGCAUGCCUUACACAUGCAAGUCGAACGGGAUUAAGGGGCUUGCUCCUUAAUCUAGUGGCGAACGGGUGAGUAAAGCAUCGGAACGUACCCAGAAGUGGGGGAUAACGUAGCGAAAGUUACGCUAAUACCGCAUAUUCUCUGAGGAGGAAAGCAGGGGAUCGCAAGACCUUGCGCUUUUGGAGCGGCCGAUGUCGGAUUAGCUAGUUGGUGGGGUAAAGGCCCACCAAGGCGACGAUCCGUAGCUGGUCUGAGAGGAUGAUCAGCCACACUGGGACUGAGACACGGCCCAGACUCCUACGGGAGGCAGCAGUGGGGAAUUUUGGACAAUGGGCGAAAGCCUGAUCCAGCCAUGCCGCGUGAGUGAAGAAGGCCUUCGGGUUGUAAAGCUCUUUCGCGAGGGAAGAAAAUGUAUGGGCUAAUACCCUGUGCAGAUGACGGUACCUUGAUAAGAAGCACCGGCUAACUACGU
rnacentral:rRNA from 1 species